UACGUAGGGUGCGAGCGUUGUCCGGAAUCACUGGGCGUAAAGGGCGCGUAGGUGGCGGGCCAAGUCGGUGGUGAAAGCUCGAUGCUUAACAUCGAGUCGGCCAUCGAUACUGGUUUGCUGGAGCACUGUAGGGGCAGAUGGAAUUCCGGGUGUAGCGGUGGAAUGCGUAGAGAUCCGGAAGAACACCGGUGGCGAAGGCGGUCUGCUGGGCAGUUGCUGACACUGAGGCGCGACAGCGUGGGGAGCAAACAGG
rnacentral:rRNA from 1 species